AGAAUUGCUAGGGUUGAAUUGCCACCGUAUUAGUGACCAUGAAAUUUUGAGCGUGAUUAUUUUUAUUUAUGGCGCCAUAUUUUAUCCACAAUUAACUCACAUAACCGGCCUCUCCACUAAUUAGGGUUUUGAUUGAAUAUUAUUCACCCUUAUACAUCAUUCCAUCAAAGCCUGAAUCAAAGAAUGAACUUCUGCACAAGUUGCUGCUGCGGGAUUGACGUUCUGUUUAUGCUUCUGAUUGACAGAUAUCAUGGCACGAACUAUGGAUCGAGGUAGUGUUGCAGCUGGUGGUCGAGGUGUUGGGCAAGAAGUUGGUCAAGCUGGUGGACGAGGUAUUGUACGAGGUAGUAGUCAAGGUAGCCGUCUAGCUACUACUCAAGAGGUUUGCCGUUGUGGUGGUCGAGUUUAUGUGCGAAGUGGUGAUCAAGCGGGUGAUCGAGUAGUUGGGCGACGUAGUGGUAUAGGUAACAAUCAAAGUAGUGGUCAAGCGGGUGAUCAAGGAGUUGGGCGAGGUGGUCGUAUAGGUAACCGACAAAGUAGUGGUCAAGCGGGUGAUCGAGGAGUUGGGCGAGGUGGUGGUGAUGUUAAUUUAUUUAACAUCACCACUUAGACAAUUUUUAUUUAACUUGUUGGAACAUUUUGUAUGUGAAUUUAUUUAUUUUUUUUUCUUCAUAGAUGUAUUAUCAGUGGGAGGAUAAAAACCAUGCACAAAUUCAUAGGUGCUGGGAGAAGUGCAUUGCUGGUAAAUUCCCCACUUUGUUGCGUAACGUACGGAAUGAAGCUAAAGCUAAGGCGAAGGAACAAGGUAAAAAUGUUGGAGACGAUAUGACCGAUGUUAUUGACUUUAAACCAACAUGGAUAAGAUCUGAGAUAUGGAAACAAAUGCUUGACCACUGGAACACACCUAAGUGGAAAGCAAAGUCUUUAAGAAACAAAGACAUUAGAAGUAGGGCAACUGGCGGCAAACAUACACUAGGAUCCCAAUCCUAUGUGACCCUGAAAAGAAAAGCGAAAAGGAAACUUGGGCGUGAAUUGACGGUUCGUGAAGCGUGGAAGCAAGCACACUGCAGGAAAGGAAGUCGACCAUUGGAUAAAGAUCUAAGUUGUAGCAGUUCACUACUUUUGGACGUUGAUUCGGCAGGGGACGCUCAAGAAGAAAAUCUUGUAUGAGUUGAUGCUAGGGCAGAGGAGACUUGGGUUAAAUAUGAAGGUUUUCUUGAGGAGAAGUAUGGGAAAGAACGUAACAAACAUCCAAAAUUUGACGAAGACUUGUGGUGACGAGCUGAGGGCAAGAAGAAAGGAAAAGUGUACGGGUUAGGCAAUGAUAGUGACCCGUGUGUACAUAGCAGAGAAGACACUGAGAUUGAAAAGUUGAACUUAGUUAUCAAGGAGCUCGUUAAGGAAAAAGAUGAAGAAAAAGAAAGGUUCAAUGGAAUUAUUGCGGGGUUGUUGGCUGACAAAGAAAAAGAUAAGGUGGAUAAAGAUGCGUUGCUUGAUCACGAUGUCACAAAUUGAAGCUAUGUUAACAGCUACAGUUCGAAAAUAGGCUAUAAGCACUUGAUUUUGAAUGUCUAGAUGUUUAUCUUAUUAGGAUAAUUUUAAUUGGUUUAUAUUUUAGUUGGUAUUUUUUAUAUGCUUUUGAAAA